GUGGGAGCGGGCUUGCUCGCGAAUGCGGUGUGUCAGAUAAGUUUGUGCCGACUGACACACCGCAUUCGCGAGCAAGCCCGCUCCCAC
rnacentral:antisense_RNA from 1 species